UGGAUAUGGGCUGGGGUGUGGGAUUAGGAAGGAUGAGAGUCCGACAUGAACGCUUGUUUGUCUUGCUCCUCCACCAGACGGCCACUUGUGUCCUUCACUAAUCAGAAACUUUUAUGUUUUAAUGGCACUUCACAACCUCCCCUGAGAAGAAAAGAAAGAGGCAGACCCACCAGAAAAAGGAAAACGCCAAAGGCGAAAAGACAAGGGGUAAAAACAAACUCCACCCUGGAUUGAGUUAUAGCAUCAAAUACCCUAUUGGUGAUACGGAAGUGCUGGGUAGAGGAGGACGUGGUCCCUGGCCAGGGCUCCACCCCCAUGGACCUAGGUGAGGACAGGCAUUUCCUGCCCAACAACUGCUGCAUUUCCCAAGACCACUCUGGCCUGCCACGCCCCCAUCCUGUGCCUAUAAAAAUCCCCAAGACCCUAGCAGGCAGACCCAAAGACAGCUGGACGUGGAGAAGAACACACUGACAGGCACUGGCCCAUCUGCAGGCCACAACGGCAGAAGCAGAACUAUGCAGAAUUUGGCUGGGACAGUAGGAGCAGAGCCCAGGCCGCUGAUCCCCUGAAUCCAGGGGAAAACCAUCUCCCUUCUGGCUCUCCCAUCUGCUGAAACCUACUUCCACUCAAUAAAACCUUGGACUCAUUCUCCGAGCCUAGGUUUGAUCUGAUUCCUCUCAUACACCAAGGCAAGAAUCUGGGAUACAGAAAGCGCUCUGUCCUUGUGAGAAGGUAGAGGGUCUAACUGAGCUGACUAAUGGAAGCCGACUACGGAUGGUUAUACUAAAAGAGCACUCGAACACACGCCCACUGGGGCUUCAAGAGCUGUAAACUUUCACCCCUAGACACUGCCAUGGGGUUGGAGCCCCGCAACCUGCCCGUCUGAUGCUUCCCUAGAGGUUUGAGCAGCGGGACACUGAAGAAGCGAGCCACACCCCCAUCGCAUGUCCUGCGAGGGGAAUAACGAAACUUUCCUGUUUCUGUGGGAUGGGAAGGGUUAAUUAAAGAAGGCCGCCGUCUUUAAUUAAAAUUAGAAAGGUAGUGAUGCCAAAAAAACAAGGAAUGCAAGAUUCAGUAGAAAAGUGUGUCUCAUUCGUUGGCAUAAUUGUGCCAACUUUUAUUAUAGGAAACCAAAAGAUCCUAUCAGGGUAAUUAUCAGGUCAUCAGUUUUUUGUCACAUACAACUUGUGUUGUGCCUUUAAGAACUUCCUGUAUUCUCAGCUUUAUUAUUCAGGACGGGGUCAGGUGUAGUACAGAUAUCUGGGGCAAUUAUUACAUGUUGUAAUCCUGGAUUCCAAGGGCUUUUCGGAACAGAUUUGUGAGAAAAGAGUGAAAAGGAAGCAAGCAGGAGCAUGUUUGUUUUUAAUAAAGAGACCCUGCCCUAACUUCCUGAACUAAAACCAGUCUAGACUUGUUUUUUCCAUUUUACACAAUGUCCGUAACAACAGAAUAAAUUUAUUAAAACCAAACAAACUGGGGGCUGAGUUUUGGCAAAGAAAAUCAGACAGAAAUAGAAUCAGCUGCUCUUGAGUUGGGGCGAGAGACUGAUUUACAAACCAGCAGUACAUUAAGGCUGCAUUGGCCUUAACUGAACUGAAGUUAUUUUCAUUAUGAGGAGACAAUGGAGAGGCAACAUGUCUGGCCUGGUGCCUGGGACAUGAACUAGUUAGUCCAUCAAUUCUGACCUCUUUUUCCAUCAGUUUUCAAAACUCAAGAUUUUAGAGUUAGGAAGGAACCUUAAGGCAUUUUCUCCAUAACUUUGUGUGGAGAAAACUGAGUCUCAGAGAAGUUAGAUGUUUUCGCCUCCCCAUUCACAGCCAUAGAUUAAAGUAAUGUAUCACUAAAUUACCAGACAGUACCUACAAAUGGGGAGAUUUACUUUUGGCUCCUGUGGGUUGGGAACAUAAAUGUGGCAAUAAUUCCAUUUGUCUACAGUUGAGCAUAGAUUCACAGUCAGCUCUUUAUUAAUUGGUAGACUCUGUUUUGAGGUGAUCCAGCUUCCCCUGCUCCUUCUUAGCCAUUUUAGGCUGCCUUCAGUAGUGAUUCGGCAUUUAGGUGCAGGUAGGUGUGUAUGUAAGCAGCGUUUAAGGAGUGUCUGAGUCCAGGCCAAAGUCAAUGUGUAUUUUUACAUUUCAGAAUGCUUUCCAUUCCUCAUCUCGCUUAACCCUUACAAUAUACUUUUAAGGAGACGGAAAGUUAAUUUGAGCUGAAUGUGAUGGCAAGUGCCUGUAAUCCCAGCUACUCAGAAGGCUGAGGCAGGAGGAUUGCUUGAGCCCAGGAGUUCUAGGUUACAGCUAUGAUUAGAUAAAUUGUAACAGUACAUGAAUCCUGAAAUGUACAAUGGAAAGUUGUACAGUAAAUGAAUACUGAAAUGUAGUGAAGUUGUACAGUAAAUGAAUACUAAAUGCUAUGUUCAUUUUCACAAAAGGUGCUCCUGGUAAAUUUGCUUCAACAUGUUGGGUUAAUUCGGGAGAUGUACAACAUUUGGCACCAGAACAGUCACUUCAUUUCUAAGACUCAUCGUUUUAAGAUUUAACUCUUCAUGCCUAAAGAGACAGAUUCUUUCACAGACCCCUUCAUGAUGAAUCAUACUCCUUCCUUGACUCUUCCAGUGCACAAUCAUUUUCUAAUGGCAGAUUGCAAAAGACUAGAUGUUUCCACUAAACCAAAUACUCAGUCCUUUGAAUGCCAAGCACCACAACUGGUGAAGACAAUGGCUGCUUGGAGAAGUGACUUUAUCCUUAGGAAAUUUCUCCAUUACUUUGAAAUUUCUUCCCGUUCAUACAACUGUGACCACUUUAUUCAGAUCUUAGAGGCUCAAUCUCUACAGUAAUAAAAUAAAAUAAAAUAAAACAUCUCAAA